AAACGAUGAUUCUUCGACUUUAAAGCCACCGAAGAGAAGUGGAAAACAAAAA
rnacentral:sRNA from 1 species